rnacentral:rRNA from 1 species
AACGAACGCUGGCGGCAUGCCUAACACAUGCAAGUCGAACGAGACCUUCGGGUCUAGUGGCGCACGGGUGCGUAACGCGUGGGAACCUGCCUUUAGGUUCGGAAUAACUCAGAGAAAUUUGAGCUAAUACCGGAUAAUGUCUUCGGACCAAAGAUUUAUCGCCUUUAGAUGGGCCCGCGUUGGAUUAGCUAGUUGGUGGGUAAGGCCUACCAAGGCGACGAUCCAUAGCUGGUCUGAGAGGAUGAUCAGCCACACUGGGACUGAGACACGGCCCAGACUCCUACGGAGGCAGCAGUGGGGAAUAUUGGACAAUGGGCGAAAGCCUGAUCCAGCAAUGCCGCGUGAGUGAUGAAGGCCUUAGGGUUGUAAAGCUCUUUUACCCGAGAUGAUAAUGACAGUAUCGGGAGAAUAAGCUCCGGCUAACUCCGUGCCAGCAGCCGCGGUAAU